rnacentral:lncRNA from 1 species
AAUCUCCAUUUUUAGACCUUUGGGAGGGGAGGAGUGGUCUGGAGGGUCAGAGUGGCUCUGGAUUUCCUCCUGAAAGGGUGGAGUUUGGAGUUGGUGUCUAGUCAGGAAUGGAAAAAUGGAAGCGUGCUUUGAUAAGUAGAUGAGAAAGGGAAGACACCCUCUAGGGAGGGUUCAGUUUUGCCCUUGUGUGAAGACAUCUGGAAAUGACUGACGUGAAAAGAAAAGUCAUUUUAAAAAAGCAUAACCAAAAAAUAAAAAAAAGAGGAAACCCAGACUCAUUUGAAAGGUGGCUUCUAGAAUCCUUGGACUUGGAUCAAUAGAAAAGUAAUCCCUCAAGGAAGAACUCUCAAGCUUGGGUUUAGAACCUCUCACCAUCUAGAUCACAUAGUUCCUCUCAGCAUAGUCCAGUCAUAUUAUGAAAGAGGGCAUGUGGUUCCCUUGUGCUUUGACCCAGUUAAAGUCCAGAGGAAAGAAGGAAAUAAAUUGCCCAUGAUCACCCAGGGAGCAAGUGGAAGAGCCAUAAUUUGAACCCAUGUUCAAAUUUUUGAACUUUGAGUCUCCAGGAAGAGGGACGGAGAACUGGAGGAUCUAUUAUCAACAUUAUAUGAAGCUGUGUGUCCUUUGGAAUCCCCUUCUUACCCUGACUGGACAAGCACACUGUGGCGACUGGGAUACUUGUCAGGCUUGCCUGCUGUGAUUGCAGCAGAUGCCACUGAGGACUCCUAACAUUGGAUUUCUGGUGGCUCUCCCUACCUUUAUCAGCCUACCGGGUCCUUCUGCCUUGGAAACUCAUUUCCUCAGGAUGGGUAAAGAGUAAGUACAAUAGAUCUGUGCCAUGCAUUCCAGGCCACAUGGUGAACAGGGGAGAGAAAUAUAGUUCCUCUCUCACACCGGAAGAUCCAUAGAGGAUCUUCCGUCUCACUUGAAGACCACCAGGGAAGGGAGAAACUCACACUCAAUUUUGGCUCAGAAACCCAUUAAAAAGACUUUUUAUUACCAUGAAGUAAGUGGAAAGGAAGUAGGCAAAGAUCUGUUCACAAUCUGAAGGGGAGAACAGGUCCCUCUAUUAUAUAUUAUCAUUCAUUUCUUAAAAAUUAAAAAAAUUUAAGCCCUUAUAUUCUGUCUAAGAAUCAAUACUAUGUAUUGGUUCUAAGGCAGAAGAGCAGUAAGGGCUAGGCAAUGGGGAUUAAGUGACUUGCUUAGGGUCACACAGCUAGGAAAUAUCUGAGGGCAGAUUUGAAUUUAGGACCUCCUAUUUCGUCAAACCAUUGAGUCACCUAGCUGCCCCCAUAAAAGUGUUUAUAGAUAUAAAAAUACAGUUGUAUAUAUUUAUCUAUAUCACAUUAUCUCUCUAUCUUCUCCUGCUCUACUAUUUGAUAAGAAAAAACCCAUUAUAAAUAUAUGUAUAUAUAUAAAAAUACACACACCCA